rnacentral:lncRNA from 1 species
CAAAUUUUGGAAAUAUGUCUUCUUCUUCUUCUUCUUCUUCGAGUUUCAAUCAACUGUGUUAACCAGUAGCCUUCAACCACUACCCAAAAAAAAGAGGUCAAAGAAUUUCGAACUCUCUGCCAUUAUUAUUUCCAGUGGGAAUUCAAGCGGUUCGAUCAAAGAAUUUAAUAUUUUCAUGUGAAUAUGAAAAUAUGAUAUUCUUCGAAGGUGGUGGGCAGUUGGGAUAUCAAUGAGAGGAAGCAUAUGAGCAAUCUGAAAAUAUUAUUUCCAUUGAAGAAGGUAAUAAUGCACUCAAAGAAUUGGUUGAUCUUCGCCUCCAUUUUCUUAACUGUUUUCAGAAUUUAAAAUCCACUAAUUACGCAACGUUGAGCGUAAUGGCAGAGCCCAAAAUUGAUAGGUUUUUCCUGUCAAAUUGGCGAAUUAUAAAAAAACUGUUUGAAUAUUAGAUACAGUCCUAUAAUUAUGCCUAAUAUAAAUGAACCCUUAAUUAUAUCCCUAAUUUGAAAUAUGAUAUUACUGUUUGAAUAUUAGAUACAGUCCUAUAAUUAUGCCUAAUAUAAAUGAACCCUUAAUUAUAUCUCUAAUUUGAAUUAUGGUAUAUAAAUGAUAAUUUCGUAUGCUUAAAUAUAAUAAAUAUAAACUUUAAACACUGAGGACAAUAAGGUUUCGUAUCUGGUAUAGGUAGGUAAAAUCACUUUAUUAAAAUCGGCUCAGAUUUGGCUUAUUGUAAGGCCAACUCUUUAAUUUGUUUUCUUUUGUUUUUCACUUCUCUUUUUUCUUUCUUUAUUUAUUUUUCCCUCUGUAUGUAUAUCUCAUAUUUUGCAUUUAUGUUUUUCGUUUCUUUUUUUUUUUUUUACUUUAUGCUAAUUUUAUAAAAAUGAUAAAAUAAAACUCACAACCAAAUUAACACCAAUAAAAUAGAUUUUCUAAUUAAUCUCUAAUAAAAUGCAAAAAAUACCAUUUUUUUAAAUUUUCUUCCCAUUUUGUUCUAAACUAAAUUAACUAAUCCUAAAAUAUGAAAUCAGAUUCUAAAUGCAAAUGUAUUUUUUCAUUUUUCAUACGAAUUAAAAUGCACAAAUAAAAUGCAUAUUAUUAUCAACAAAUGACACUAAAAUUAUAAAAAAUAAAGAAAAAUUAUUUUAUUUCAAUUUUUGGAAAUAAUUUAUAUAUAGAGCAAAAAUCACGUGCUUACAUAUGGGUCUGAAGCAUAAUAAUCAUUUCCAGUAUGACACUUUUCUUACGCUUGAAUACUUCCUUGUCAUUUGAGAAGACGUUUUAGAGAACAAGUGUCUGCAAUCUCAUUAAAAAUUAGGUAUUUAUUUGAACUGUGUUUGUUCUUAAAAACUAGCGUUGGUGCAUAAACUUUGUAUCGUCAAUUAAACUCUGCCUUUUGUCACUGGAUGAGUAUUUUGCGCAGCUAACCCGUGCGGCACUUAGACAACUUUGCCAAAGGUUGCUAAGU